GACAACGGGCCUGUGGCAGCCAAGCGUUCGCAGUGACAUCGCUUUGAGAUCCUUCGAUAUCGGCCCUACCUAUCAUGGCGAAGCUUUGGAUUGUUUAGCCACUGACAGGGAACGUGAUCGGGGUUCUACCUGUCAAU
rnacentral:rRNA from 1 species